rnacentral:rRNA from 1 species
UACGUAGGGGGGCAAGCGUUGUCCGGAUUUAUUGGGCGUAAAGAGCGUGUAGGCGGCUUGGUAGGUCUGCUGUGAAAACUCGGGGCUCAACCCCGAGCCUGCUUUCGAUACGGGCGGACUAGAGGUAGGUAGGGGAGAACGGAAUUCCUGGUGUAGCGGUGGAAUGCGCAGAUAUCAGGAGGAACACCGGUGGCGAAGGCGGGUCUCUGGGGCCGAUACUGACGCUGGAGGAGCGAAAGCGUGGGGAGCGAACGG